rnacentral:sRNA from 1 species
UCAAGACAACUUUGCUUCUUUUAAUAUAGGCAGGGAAGUCAAAAGAUUGGAUAUCCCUGCUUUAUACCAAGAAAGACAGCACCCCACAUUUGCAAUGCCUAAAAACACUACCAGCCAUCUGAAAAACAUGAGACUUCUAACUUCUGUUCUUUUUUGUAGCAGUGGAAUCCCACGGUGAUAUCUGAGGGAUGUGGUUACCUUUUGGAGGAGGUUGACGGUUUCUAAGGAUGAUUCUUUCUGAGUGAAAUAUUGUCGGUGUCAUUGACCUUUUCAUUAUUUCAACUAUUAUUAUUCCAGGUUAUCAAUACUCUGGCUGUCUAUCGUCAUCGUGAGACUGACUUUUGUGGAGGAGUUCGAGACCACCCUGGCCAACAUGGCAAAACCCCAUCUCCACAAAAAUUGGAUAAUUUGAUAAUUAUCAUUAUUGAGUUUCUGAGACCUUACACAUUUACCAUUCUCUUCUGCACAAAUUACCUUUGUUUGUCUUUCCUGAAGACUAUCUUCCAGUCUGAAAAUGGACAUGAUGGAUCCACAGAUGUACAGCAGAGAGCCUGGAGGUCCAACCGACGUAGACAGGAAGGGCUGAGGUCCAUUUGUAUGCACACAAAGAAAAGAGUUUCUUCCUUUCCAGGAAAUAAAAUUGGCCUGAAAGACGUCAUUACUCUACGGAGACAUGUGAAAG